UACGUAGGUGGCAAGCGUUGUCCGGAUUUACUGGGCGUAAAGAGCGCGCAGGCGGUCGUUCAAGUCGCGUGUGAAAGCCCCCGGCUCAACUGGGGAGGGUCACGCGAUACUGAUCGACUCGAAGGCAGGAGAGGGUAGUGGAAUUCCCGGUGUAGCGGUGAAAUGCGCAGAUAUCGGGAGGAACACCGGCGGCGAAGGCGGCACUCUGGGCCGGUACUGACGCUGAGGAGCGAAAGCGUGGGGAGCAAACAGG
rnacentral:rRNA from 1 species